rnacentral:rRNA from 1 species
UCGGGAAUAUUGCGCAAUGGAGGAAACUCUGACGCAGUGACGCCGCGUGCAGGAAGAAGGUUUUCGGAUUGUAAACUGCUUUAGACAGGGAAGAAACAAGACAGUACCUGUAGAAUAAGCUCCGGCUAACUACGUGCCAGCAGCCGCGUAAUACGUAGGGAGCAAGCGUUAUCCGGAUUUAUUGGGUGUAAAGGGUGCGUAGACGGGAAUGCAAGUUGGUUGUGAAAUCCCUCGGCUCAACCGAGGAAUUGCAACCAAAACUAUAUUUCUUGAGUGCUGGAGAGGAAAGUGGAAUUCCUAGUGUAGCGGUGAAAUGCGUAGAUAUUAGGAGGAACACCAGUGGCGAAGGCGACUUUCUGGACAGUAACUGACGUUGAAGCACGAAAGUGUGGGGAGCAAACAGGAUUAGAUACC